rnacentral:lncRNA from 1 species
UCCCGAAUAUAUUCAUGAGUAUGGAAUCUUGUCAAACUCAAAUACAUAUUCAUAUCAAUUCUUCAUCAAUCAAUGAUGACUCCGAUGAUGAAGCAUUAGAAAUCCUUUCUAAUCUUCAUCCUGCUUUGACUAAAGACUUUCUGAGUCAUCUAUAGAUAAGAAUGCACAGGAUGUCAUCUCUUACUAGGAGUGAUCGAUUCUUUAUUGACCAACUCACAACUUUCAUACAUACUCCAUACUCAGAACAUCCCGUACAUGUCCUUAAUGUCAUACCU